GGAAGAGUUCCCGAGCGGCCAAAGGGAGCAGACUGUAAAUCUGCCGUCAUCGACUUCGGUGGUUCGAAUCCACCCUCUUCCA
rnacentral:tRNA from 1 species